UGAGCUGGGGAGCUUGUAAAACAGGCUGAGAGGGAGCUUUUAGCUUCGACCCGUGUACCUGAUGCGGAUAAUGCCGCCGUAGGGAGCC
rnacentral:ncRNA from 1 species